CUGCUCACAGCGCUCCUGUGUCAUGGUUAAACAGAUUAACCCGCGACCAUAUGUUGCCAUGAAAUUAAUUGCAUCUGGUGUAAUGUGCUCUGCUGCAAUGAUCA
rnacentral:antisense_RNA from 1 species